rnacentral:rRNA from 1 species
GCGCGUAGGCGGCAGUGUAUGUCAGAUGUGAAAUACUCCGGCUCAACCAGAGAACAGCAUCUGAAACUGCACAGCUAGAGUACAGAAGAGGGAAACGGAAUUCCCGGUGUAGAGGUGAAAUUCGUAGAUAUCGGGAGGAACACCAGUGGCGAAGGCGGUUUCCUGGUCUGAUACUGACGCUGAGGCGCGAAAGCGUGGGGAGCAAACAG